GACAGAGGUGCCGAGCGUUAUCCGGAUUCACUGGGUUUAAAGGGAGCGUAGGUGGCUUUGUAAGUCAGUGGUGAAAUCUUAGAGCUUAACUCUAAAACUGCCAUUGAUACUGCUUAGCUUGAAUCACGUCGAGGUGGAUGGAAUAUUACAUGUAGCGGUGAAAUGCUUAGAUAUGUAAUAGAACACCGAUUGCGAAGGCAGUUCACUAGGCGUGUAUUGACACUGAGGCUCGAAAGCGUGGGGAUCAAACAGG
rnacentral:rRNA from 1 species